rnacentral:tRNA from 1 species
UGGGGAAUAGUUUAGUGGUAGAACUCCGGAUUCUGACUCCGGCAGCCGUGGUUCGAAUCCACGUUCCCCAGCCA